GACGAACGCUGGCGGCGUGCUUAACACAUGCAAGUCGAGCGGUAAGGCCCUUUCGGGGGUACACGAGCGGCGAACGGGUGAGUAACACGUGGGUGACCUGCCCUCAGCUCUGGGAUAAGCCUGGGAAACCGGGUCUAAUACUGGAUAUGACUCCAUGACGCAUGUUGUGGGGUGGAAAGCCUUGUGCGGCUGAGGAUGGGCCCGCGGCCUAUCAGCUUGUUGGUGGGGUGANGGCCUACCAAGGCGACGACGGGUAGCCGGCCUGAGAGGGCGGCCGGCCACACUGGGACUGAGACACUGCCCAGACACCUACGGGUGGCUGCAGUCGAGAAUCU
rnacentral:rRNA from 1 species